UACGUAGGGUGCGAGCGUUGUCCGGAAUUAUUGGGCGUAAAGAGCUUGUAGGCGGUCUGUCGCGUCUGCUGUGAAAAUCCGGGGCUCAACCCCGGACUUGCAGUGGGUACGGGCAGACUAGAGUGUGGUAGGGGAGACUGGAAUUCCUGGUGUAGCGGUGAAAUGCGCAGGUAUCGGGAGGAACACCAGUAGCGAAGGCGGCUCGCUGGGCCAUUCCUGACGCUGAGACGCGAAAGCUAGGGGAGCGAACAGG
rnacentral:rRNA from 1 species